ensembl:lncRNA CARMN cardiac mesoderm enhancer-associated non-coding RNA
AAGGCAGAGUGGCCUCUGUGGCCAGGGAGCCGCAGGCAAGGGACUAAGGGGAGGGGGGCUCAGUGCCAGCUGCUUAAAAAUGCCCCUGUGGCAGCGAGGGGCACCAGAGGCUGGGUCUAAUUAGUUGAGAAGCAGUGACACCCCCAACCACUCCCCAAACAGGCUGGCUCCCGUCUCCAGGCCCCAAGGAGCCACACCUGGACCAGACCCCAGGAAAGACAUGUGGUGGAAACCCUACGGCCCUGGAGCCCAAGGAGAGCAACGGCUGUAACAAGUGCACAGGUUUGAGUGCGCUGAGACAGGGGAACCGUGGGCAAAGAGGUCCCUCCAGAAAGAGCUGGGUGUGAGCAUGGGUUCGUGAGCUUGCCUGGAGCCCUGGCCUCAGCCCUCUCUCACUGAGGUGCCAUCUGGCUCGCAGAUGUGGCCCAUUCCCAGCCCCUCGUGUUUCUUGGAAAUGAGAAAGUCCAGGAAAGGGCACAGGGGCUUUCGCAACGACCGUGGCGAUGAUAGCUUUGACGUGUGGUCAUCCAGCCGGCCACUGCCCACACCCAAGAGAAAGCUGGAUUGAGCAUCAGGAGCCUGGGUUCAAGUCUGCCUCUCAAGCUGUUCCACAGGUGACCCUGGGCAAAUCGCACAGGCUCCUGGAACUUCAGAAAGGGGAAGAAUUAUUCCUGCCUCUGGCGACAUCAGCGAAUGUGCCUUGAGUUACGGGAGUGUUUUGAAGGCUGAAAGCUUUGUGUACACGGAAGGGGUCAAAGACAGCCACAAGCCUGUCCCUUUGGUCUUGGUCAUCAUGUUAACCCCAGGCAAGGGCGCUAGCUGGUGGGAGCCACCCCGCCAUGCUGAUGUCAGAGAAGCAAGAACUCUGGAGAAGCAGCCUCCUGGGACCAGAGGAGGGCCAGCAGCAGGCAGCCCGGAGACAGAACUAAUGUGUCUGGGGGUGAGAGGACGGGUGUGACUGCUGAAACUUCCUUUCUUGGUGAUUCCACAUCACUCCUUUCUGAUCCCUGAGCCUGUGCCACGCCCUGUGUGAUGUGCCGGGGACACCAGGGUGAAUACUUACAGGCCCUGUUCCCCUUCCUUCAUGAAACAGCCUCCUUCGGGCUGGGUCACUGGGCACUGGGGCCUCCCUGGUCUUCCAGGAUUGCAACUUCACAGAAUCCCUUUUCCAUAAGGCACAUGAAAGUGACUGUGACCCGCAACGGGAGCCUUGACAACCAGCCAAUUCAGAACACAGACCUUGACAUCGGAAGGCCCCGAGUUCAAAUCCUGCCUUGCUCCCUUUCAGCUGGAAAGCUGUGGUCAAAUUACUUAGCCUCUCCAAGCCAGUUUUCCCUUCUGCAAAAUGAGGUUACACAAGCUGCCACCUCACAGAAUGAGUCUCACCCACGCCUCUCCAAGCCUCCCAACAGAAGACAGAGGUCCCCCACAGCCAGAGACAUUUCCUGAAGACAUGGGGAACACAGAGGCAGAAACAGCCCAUCCACCCAGGAGCUGUCCCCCACACUGCCGGGAGCCGGCACCCAGAGCCGCCAGGUAAAACUGAGGCCACCUGGUUCAACAUCACCUUUCACAGAAGGGGAAGCAGCCACAGAAAGAAGGGCCUCGUUAAGAAGUGGAACCUGGGACCCCCAAGCGGUGUCUCUCAUCCUGACUGGGGAUCCAGAGUAGGAGGGAGCCUUUGGUGGGACACAAAGGAACAGAACGAGGCACCAACAGCAAGGGGCAAGCAGAUUCAAGGGCCACAGAGGAGAUGGAGGCAAACACCUUCCCCUGGUCAGAGGCUGUGCCUCAGCCCUUCUCCCUGCAUCAGUUUCUCCUUCAGAAGCAUGGGACUACCUCCCAUCUAGUUCUCGUUUCUAAACCUAGGGGAGAUGCUAUCUUUGCUGCAAUAAUCUUAGCCUACAUCUUGGAAUGGAAAUGGCCUUGGUGGAAAUGGUCUUCAACUCCUCUGGUCCAAGCUCAGGCCCUGUGACCCUGGAACAAUCCCCUUCCUGGUCCUCCAUGUAGGAGCAAUAACAUUCCCUUGCCAGCAGCACCAGCCAUUCUGAUGAUUAAAUGGUAUCGGACUCUGUUUUCCAAACU